rfam:Sphingobium baderi strain DE-13, complete genome.
GGACGUUGACGCUGCGCCCGGUUCCAUCCUAUGUCGUGCGGGCAAGGUCGAGGAAGAAGCCGGUGAGAUUCCGGCACGGUCGCGCCACUGUUAUCGUCCGUUGCCCAUCUCUGUCGAGAGGGGGCGGGUGAAAGUCAGACCUUCCUCGGGCGAACGGACACCGGC